UACGUAGGUGGCAAGCGUUGUCCGGAAUUAUUGGGCGUAAAGCGCGCGCAGGCGGUCCUUUAAGUCUGAUGUGAAAGCCCACGGCUCAACCGUGGAGGGUCAUUGGAAACUGGGGGGACUUGAGUACAGAAGAGGAAAGCGGAAUUCCACGUGUAGCGGUGAAAUGCGUAGAGAUGUGGAGGAACACCAGUGGCGAAGGCGGCUUUCUGGUCUGUAACUGACGCUGAGGCACGAAAGCGUGGGGAUCAAACAGG
rnacentral:rRNA from 1 species